rnacentral:rRNA from 1 species
UACGGGGGAGGCAAGCGUUGUUCGGAAUUACUGGGCGUAAAGGGCUCGUAGGCGGCCAACUAAGUCAGACGUGAAAUCACUCGGCUUAACCGGGGAACUGCGUCUGAUACUGGAUGGCUUGAGGUUGGGAGAGGGAUGCGGAAUUCCAGGUGUAGCGGUGAAAUGCGUAGAUAUCUGGAGGAAUACCGGUGGCGAAGGCGGCAUCCUGGACCGACAUUGACGCUGAACGGCGAAAGCUAGGGGAGCAAACGGG